rnacentral:tRNA from 1 species
GCCUACAUAGCUCAGUUGGUAGAGCGCAUCCUUGGUAAGGAUGAGGUCAUCGGUUCAAUUCCGAUUGUAGGCUCCA